GACGUUCGAAAUCACGCAAAACGGCGCAUAAAAUAUUGGCCUUUUCGCGAUUUUUUCGUUUGCCGACUUCGACCCCUCAGCGAACAUUUCGCAAUUCCCGAAGAUCCGUCCGUCGGAUUUCCGAACGGAUUGCGCCAGCGCGUUCAGCACGACUGGGCAUCGAAUAUAGCAUUUUGUUUCAUUCAAUUUGAUCGCAGAUUCACGACGAAACUCAUCUACUCUCCAAAUACCAAAAACCACAUAUAUACCUAUAUGUGUAAAAACAAUAAACCUCCUUUUUCUCGAAAAUCGUGUAUCAGAUCUGAAAUCUGUCAGUGCCAUUAGUUCCAGAAUAGCUGAACCAUUCAAAACGAGCUAUUGGAUCGCUAUGAACGGAGUCCGAUGCGCACCAGAAGCCAACUCUACUCAUCAGCCUCUCCGAAAAAUCGGAGUUACUAUUCACUUUAAGUGAUUAGUAUUUAUCGCGAACUUCUCCAUUCUAACUCGUUUUCUCCUGAAACUUGACGAGUGCUUAUGUAAUUAAAUUACACACAAAAACAUUGUCAACAGAGAGUUUAGCUACACUGCCAAAAUCUCAAUCCUUACAAUAGACUUGAUGAUUGGCUCUGGUUAUGUGAUCAUUUUGAUUUAGAAGCCUUCCAGUGUCACACCCUGUGGUCCCUUUGUAGUUUAAAAACACAGCGAAAGUGUCUAAAUUUUUUUUUUUUAAACCUGACCCCUAGGGUAUGCCAGAUCCGCCACAAAUACAGGGAGUCUACUGUUCACACGGACAGAGUCUCCUCUGCAUUUGCACGGCGUCGCACAAGUACAAGGUACUUAAACAGAACACAACCACCACAACUGAAUAUAUAAACAUUCAACAUUCAUACAUUCAUACACCAUUCACAACAGAUUCACAUUCAGAGUUUUAAUCAUAAAUCCACAACCAUUAGUUUAAAAUAUUUCCUACCCGAAAACUGGUUUUGAAAUACUAAGUCACGUAAACCACGAGAAAACCUUUUAAAAAUUGUUUCCCACACGGAAACUCUUUUCUUUUUAAAACACGCUAUCAUGAGCAGUAGAAAACCAUUUUCAUUUCACAAAAACUCACAAAUCCUUUAUUACAUGCAUGAAAUCCCAAAUUCAAAUGUAAUAAGAUGCUGAACCAUAUAAACUGUCUAAUUCAAUUAUUG
rnacentral:lncRNA from 1 species